CUUAUGUAUUCAUCAUUCAUUUUAAAAUUUGUAACUUACAUUAGACUUAUCACAGGUCCUUAAGCAGAUAACUGAAUGCAGUGAGAGACAGAAGUUUCGUUGUUUUAGUUUUAGUCUGUUUGAAAAUUUUUAACUGUUAGCACCUGGAUCACAGCUGACAACAGAUUGGUGAAAUUCAGUGUGGCCAAGGAAGAAGAAGGUUUGUCUAACAGUGGAAGGUAUUAAGAUUGAAUUCACUGAGUGGGCUGGCAGUAUCUAACCACCAAAGCACCAAACUUCUGAGUAGAGCCUCUUUUUGAAUCAGAAUAUCUGAGUAAGUCAAUGAAAUAUCAACACUGAGGAAUGUCCCUUCAUCUUGUGAGUAAAGCUGUCUUAUAGAUGUAUGCAGUUAUGGUCUAGUACAUGAAGCAGUCAUUUUGUGCAGAAGAGAAGAAAUCAACAAGGAGUAGUGGAUAUGAUUAAGCCCUCUGUCUUCUGAAUAGCCCUUGUAAUUCUAAUGCAAACCAUGGCAACAUUUAAACCAAGAGUUCUGAGUAAACAAACAUAGGUGAACAAACCUUGCUGGGUAUUCUAGAUCCGUCAAUGUGGUAUGCAAAGCUCUAGACUAUAGGUCCCAAAUUAUGUGAAUAUUACGCAUGAUGAUUCCAGGAAACUUUGAAAACACAUCAACAUCUCAUCUCUUUAAAAAAGAAUACUUCAUUUUAAUGACUCAGCAGAUAACUCCACUGAUGUUUAGCUGCUAAAAGAGUGACUCCAAAGAACAAAUUGAUACUUUCUAUAGCAAGCAUGGAAAUACAACAAAGAAAGUAAAUAUGUGGCUAUUUCAUUUCUCAAAAGGUCAGUUUUAACUUAAUUUUGGUC
ensembl:lincRNA